AAAAUUUAAAAUAAAAAUACUAAAAUAGUAAUUAAAUAUUUAUUGAAACUUAAAUAAUUUGGCGGUAUUUUAGUUCAUUUAGAGGAAUCUGUUUAAUAAUUGAUAUUCCACGAAUAAAUUUACUUAUUUUAUAAUUUUGUAUAUCGUUGUUAUAAAAAUAUUUUUUAAUAAAAUUAAUAUUUAAAAAUUAAUAAAAAAAAAUUAAAUCAGAUCAAGAUGCAGAUUAUAAAUAAGAAUAUAAUGGAUUACAAUAAAUUUAUUUAAAUGGAUUUUAAUUUGUAAUAUUUAAUUAAAGGUGGAUUUAAAUGUAAUUUUAUUUAAUUUAAUAAAAUGAUUAAAAAUUAAAAUAUGU
rnacentral:rRNA from 1 species